rnacentral:rRNA from 1 species
CCUACGGGGGGCUGCAGUGGGGGAUAUUGCACAAUGGAGGAAACUCUGAUGCAGCGACGCCGCGUGAGGGAAGACGGUCUUCGGAUUGUAAACCUCUGUCUUUGGGGAAGAAAAUGACGGUACCCAAAGAUGAAGCUCCGUCUAACUACGUGCCAGCAGCCGCGGUAAAACGUAGGGAGCGAGCGUUGUCCGGAUUUACUGGGUGAAAGGGGAGCGUAGGCGGGCGAGAAAGUUGAAUGUUAAACCUACCGGCUAAACUGGUAGCUGCGUUCAAAACUUUUUGUCUUGAGUGAAGUAGAGGCAGGCGGAAUUCCUAGUGUAGCGGUGAAAUGCGUAGAGAUUAGGAGGAACACCAGUGGCGAAGGCAGCCUGCUGGGCUUUAACUGACGCUGAGGCUCGAAAGCGUGGGGAGCAAACAGGAUUAGAUACCCUAGUAGUC